UACAGAGACUGCAAGCGUUAUUCGGAUUCACUGGGCGUAAAGGGUGCGCAGGCGGCCGUGUGUGUUAGGCGUGAAAGCCCGAGGCUCAACCUCGGAAUUGCACCUAAAACUACACGGCUAGAGUACUGGAGAGGGUAGCGGAAUUCACGGUGUAGCAGUGAAAUGCGUAGAUAUCGUGAGGAACACCAAUGGCGAAGGCAGCUACCUGGACAGUUACUGACGCUCAGGCACGAAAGCGUGGGGAGCAAAAGGGAUUAGAUACCCCUGUAGUCCACGCCCUAAACGGUGCACACUAGGUCUUGGCGGAUUCGACCCCGUCAGGGCCCAAGCUAACGCGUUAAGUGUGCCGCCUGAGGACUACGGCCGCAAGGCUAAAACUCAAAGGAAUUGACGGGGGCCCGCACAAGCGGUGGAGCAUGUGGCUUAAUUCGAUGCAACGCGAAGAACCUUACCAGGCCUUGACAUGCACUUGACCGAAGCUGAAAGGUUUCUUUCCCGCAAGGGACAAGUGCACAGGUGCUGCAUGGCU
rnacentral:rRNA from 1 species